rnacentral:tRNA from 1 species
UCAUACCCCAUUUAUAAAGGUUGUAAUCCUUUUCUUUUUA